UAGGGAAUAUUGGACAAUGGGCGGAAGCCUGAUCCAGCCAUCCCGCGUGCAGGAAUAAGGCCCUAUGGGUUGUAAACUGCUUUUAAUAGGGGAGAAAAGCUUUGAUUCAUCAGAGUUUGACGGUACCUAAAGAAUAAGCACCGGCUAACUCCGUGCCAGCAGCCGCGGUAAUACGGAGGGUGCAAGCGUUAUCCGGAUUUACUGGGUUUAAAGGGUGCGCAGGCGGUAAAGUAAGUCAGUGGUGAAAGCU
rnacentral:rRNA from 1 species